CUAACUUGGCAGCUGGCCUCAUCCCAGCCAAGACAGGAGUAAAAACUCCCAGUGAUUUCAGCUGGCCAAAGGGUUGAGGUCUGAGGCUGGAUAGCUGGAUGCUGCAGCACUCAGGGAGGAGCAGGGAGCAGUGGCCACUCAGAGAAGCCUCCGGACUUUAAAUCUAUACUUUAGCAGGCUUGAAAAUGGUCUAACUGGAAUGAAGAGAUGGCAACAGGAUCACAGAAUAGAUGCAGCGACCGGUAUCACUGCAGAAAGUGGGAGACUGACCACCGAGUGCAUUAGUUUUCCCAGAAGUUUCCAGCUCGUGAGAAACAAUUCAAACAUCUUGUCUAUUCAAACGAGAAGCUGUAAAGUGACCUGACAUCUUUCCUGGACGCAGUCUUGAGUAGUCUCAUAGAAACUACCACAUUGCCAUCUCUAAGAACCACUGCUGCGAUUAUCCUGCCAGCAUCCUUGGAGGUAUGUACCAAAGGCAUAGGAAUAAACUACAGAUCCAGGCCUUCCUCUUUGCCAUGCCUUUGUGAACUGGUAGACAGCAAGAAAUCAUCUUCUGAGUACAAAAUACUCUGCUCCUGAUCCUUUCCAUUGCUCUAUGCUGCUGGAACAACUAAGAUCAGACAACUUCUUCCUGUACCUCUCCAGAAUGGCUCUUGUAUCUCUGUCCUGAUUUUAAUCCAAAAUUGUUUAGGCCCUCUAAAAAAAUACUACUGCUACAAAGGAUUUUAUGCCUGGCAAAAUAUCAGCAUUGGUUAUCUUCUAUAACCACUUAUAAAAGCACACAGCUCCUAAAUCUCUUCAAGACUAUGGAAACAGAGAAAUUAAAAUAAAACCAUUGGUGGUGAUUAAUUAUGCCUGGAUUAACAAAAUGCCAGCCUUUUCUAAUUGUUCUGGGAGCCAGGAGGAAAGGAAUCAGCAUUGCCCUGCUGGAAGUAGCUCAGAUUGCUGCAGCUGAUCAGCAUGGUCCUCAAAAGCCCAGAGGAGGAGGAGGACAGGGUUGAGAAGGUGCCAUUUUCUCUGCUGGCAGGAGGAAGGAGCAGGAGGGACUUGCUGCAUGGAGGGAAAACGGGGUGUGCUGGGAGAAGCAGGCUUAGUGGUGAAGAUGGGAAAGACAAGAGGACCAUAAGUGGAGCCUGGAGAGAUGAGCACUAAAGACUUGGCGGAGGCAGCUGUACCUCCCACCGCACCAGGGCAGUGAGGCAGGCAGAGGGCAGCCACUUCCAGGGAAAUGCCGGGGCUCUGCCUUUGCAUUUGGAAGUCAAAUACUUGAGUUUUAGUCUUUUCUUCUUUAAUGCUGCAGCUGCCCAGAGCCACAGGUUGUCCCAGACUCUGGCCUAUCCUGAUUCCUCAGAACUAGCUCCCAGAGCUUUUUUUUGGAUGGUACUUAUGGAGAAAGUGAUGGUGGUAAUGGUAAAAUGUACCAAUUUUAAACCAUCAAUCCCAAGCCACUCCGUGACCUUCAUGUUUGCAUGACUAUGCACUACGGACAUGUAGCAUCGUUCUUGUUGCAAAUGUUACCAUGAUGUUGCCUGAAUGUUUUGCUUCCCAUAAUAACUCAGUGAACCAUAGCCAGAGAGAAUCACGCCUCAGGCUCAGCGGCAAAUACAGCACACAGCCCUGGCCUGCAAAAUCUCUCCUUUCCGACCUGAUCCUUCGCAGAACCCCUCGUUACACAUGCUGGGUGUUUAGACCCUGUGGUGCUGAAGCUGUUUUUUCACUUCUGAGCAGGCCCUCAUUUGAUGUCCAUUCAUAAUGCUCCACAAAUCAAGCCUACUCACACCUGGAGCCCCUCCCCCUGCAUUAAAGUAUUAGGUUAUUGUUUAUUAGGCUGAAUGGCUAUUAUGUGCAUGCAUGUACGGUUUUUCAUUUCAGAUUAUGAAAAAAAAAAAAAGAAGUAAAAGGAAGAAUUCCAGGAGUGCCCACAAGCCAGGAAGAGCUUGGAUCGAACCACAAAUGUGGGGACUAGGCAAGAAUAGUAUCCUUGGAAAUGACCCACUGGGUAAAAACAAAACAAUAAUAAAUCCCUGUGAAAAACAGCCAUUUGAAUUUCCAUGAAUGUCAUUACCUUCAAAAGCCAUGGGAGCCUGUGCCAAGUUUGGAUGGCACUGUGGAGAAGACAGAACAGUUGGAACAGAGGGCUGGCAGCAAUGAGAUUACAAAGAUACCACCAAAUGUUGUCCAGACUGCUGGUAAGUACAUUUCUCCACGUAUCAGGCUCAAAUAAAGAGCUUGCAAUGUAAAUUCAGGCCUGCGCCAGGUCACGAUGCUGCCGUUCACAUCAACAAGGUACAGCAAGACACAGUUACACUGCGAGUGAAAUCAGUAGGAAGAAAAAGCCACAGCGUAAACAACUCACCUAAAUACUCCAUGGCAGUAAGUUCAGGCAGCUGCCUGUGCCUUUACCCCAUUACACACUAGAUGAAGUGACUAUUAUUUGCAAAUAGCUUUUUGCACCCCAGCUGUGCUGGCAGGUUUUGCUUUUCCAGGUGCCAGGCAGCACCCAGGAGCUUGCAUUCUUAGACUAAGAGGGCUUGAGGCUUGCGGCCAUGUCACUCUCAUCAGACCAAACACGUAAUUUUUGAAAUGCUUGUGAGAGGUGACCUAGAGCCUUUGGCAUGUCCGCAGGGAAGAAUCAGCCAUGGGAACUCACAGCAGCUUUUUUAAACAAUUACUGGAGGAGCUUGCAGGGCUAUUAGUCACAGGCUGAUAGAGGGGUCUGCCCUAUGGCAGCUCAGUCUUUCCUCCUGGCAUAACUAACUAGGGGAGCUGGGCAGCAACCAGGAGGCAUGAAAAAGUACUUGAGAUGCUUGGAAGCAUUUGCCUGCCCUCAGCUAAAUACCCUCACUUUUGCAGACAGGUGGAACAGGCCCUGUCCUUUCGCCAGUGCCCGCAUGCCAGGAGGAGCAGGAGCACUGCUGUAGGUUUUGAAGGUGUAUUCCAAGCUGCCCUCACGCUUCUGCACACGGUCCCGCCAAUUUAUUAAACUCUUCUGAAGUUGCUCCUGACCUAAGCUAAGUACUUUUCUACUGACAUCAAUUUUUGCCACAUCACUAUUCACCCCCAGGUUAUUAAUAAAGCAUUAAACAAUAUUGGUCUGAGUCCUGCUCUCUAGGGCACCUCAUUAUUAAUCUCUUUCCCUACUAGAAUUGGCCAUUUAUUCCAUACCCAUUUAUAACCAGAUUUUAAUCCAUGACAGCACUUUACCUCUCACUUUGUGGUUACCAGGUUUCCUUAACAGUUUCUUGUAUGUGUGUUUAUCAAAAGGCUUUUGAAUGUCCAAAUAAAUUAUAUCCCCUGGUUGUUCUUUACCCACUAUUUUAGUAACUCUUAAAAGUAUAAAAGGCCUGACUGGCAAGAUUUAUUCUUGUAGCAGCUAUGUUACUUUUUUCCUUUGCUUGAGACUUGAUAUUUCCCUGCAGACUGUGAAAUAUUUAGACCAGUGACCCUCUGAAUCUUGCGGUGUGAAGCAGCACCAGAUAUGUUGUCGAUGUUUAAUUAAAAAUAAAAGAGAAUGUAAUAUACUGCUGACUUUCCCAACGACUUCCUUAUAAUGAGGUGGGGCUAAUAAGGCAAAAUUUCCAUGAGCUCAGCUGUCUGUGUAAAUAUUUACAGGGUCUUUAUCGCUUUAGGACCAGACUUCCACACGCGUUAAUGGGGUUAUCCUUGUAACACCUCUCUGAUACAGGGAAGCUUUAAUCCCAACUGCCUGAAGAAUCAGGGCACGCUGACAUCUGGCACAUAAAAACCAAACUGCAGUGCUUUGAGAAUACAGGUUAGGAGAUAAAACACCUUCUCCCACUUACAGAUGCUGUAUUCACAAAAAAAAUGCAAGAAUCAUCACAAUUCACACAUAUAAUCAAAGAGGCAGGGUACCCCAGUGUCUCUUCCCAAGCAAGCUCUCUGAACCCCGAGCUCAUUUUUCCCGUUGC